rnacentral:rRNA from 1 species
UGGGGAAUAUUGCGCAAUGGGGGGAACCCUGACGCAGCCAUGCCGCGUGAAUGAAGAAGGCCUUAGGGUUGUAAAGUUCUUUCGGUAUUGAGGAAGGUUGAUGUGUUAAUAGCACAUCAAAUUGAUGUUAAAUACAGAAGAAGCACCGGCUAACUCCGUGCCAGCAGCCGCGGUAAUACGGAGGGUGCGAGCGUUAAUCGGAAUAACUGGGCGUAAAGGGCACGCAGGCGGUUAUUUAAGUGAGGUGUGAAAGCCCCGGGCUUAACCUGGGAAUUGCAUUUCAGACUGGGUAACUAGAGUACUUUAGGGAGGGGUAGAAUUCCACGUGUAGCGGUGAAAUGCGUAGAGAUGUGGAGGAAUACCGAAGGCGAAGGCAGCCCCUUGGGAAUGUACUGACGCUCAUGUGCGAAAGCGUGGGGAGCAAACAGGAUUAGAUACCCUGGUAGUCCACGCUGUAAACGCUGUCGAUUUGGGGGUUGGGGUUUAACUCUGGCGCCCGUAGCUAACGUGAUAAAUCGACCGCCUGGGGAGUACGGCCGCAAGGUUA